GGAGACGCCGUGGUUCAGCGGUAGAGCAUCUGCCUGACAUACAGAAGGUCCUAGGUUCAGUCCCUGGGUCUCUA
rnacentral:tRNA from 1 species